CGAAGCGGCUGUGGUCCUGCCGGGUGCCCUGCACCGUGCCGUUGGGGAAGAUCUCCAGGUGGAAGCCGGUGCGGCAGUAGAGCUGCCGCCGCCGCAGGAUGCCCUUGAGUACCACUUCCAGGCCCUAGACCCUGUUUGUGCUGGAUGCUGUGUUAAGAAGUACGUAACAAACCCGAGUCCUUGACCUGAGGAAUCUCACUGCUCUGUCUUGUGGAAGGAUUUCUAAUGGAAGGCAACAUGAAUGAGGCAACAGAAUUUCAGUCAACGUGUAGAAGUACAUAUAUAUUUUUGUGGCGAGUUUAGAAUGGUGGCAGAAUAAAGAAAUGCCCUGGCUUAGACACCAAAAAGAUUCAAUUUGGGGUAGUAGAGAGGAGGGGGAACAAGGACCUCACACAAGAACUGACCUAAACUCUGAG